rnacentral:rRNA from 1 species
AACGAACGCUGGCGGCAUGCCUAACACAUGCAAGUCGUGCGAGAAAGUUCCUUCGGGAGCGAGUAAAGCGGCGCACGGGUGAGUAACACGUAGGUAACCUGCCCCCCAGUCUGGAACAACUAGAGGAAACUCUAGCUAAUGCCGGAUGAGACCACGAUCCCUUCGGGGGUUGCGGCCAAAGAUGGCCUCUACUUGUAAGCUAUCGCUGAGGGAUGGGCCUGCGGGCCAUUAGCUUGUUGGUGAGGUAACGGCUCACCAAGGCUGUGAUGGCUAGCUGGUCUGAGAGGAUGACCAGCCACACUGGGACUGAGACACGGCCCAGACUCCUACGGGAGGCAGCAGUGGGGAAUAUUGCGCAAUGGGCGAAAGCCUGACGCAGCGACGCCGCGUGGGUGAUUGAAGGCCU